rnacentral:rRNA from 1 species
AUGGUGGUCAGGUGCGUGCACGCCGAUGCGGGCGGUUUCCGGCUCUGGCCGGUCUUCUCGGCCGCCACCAUGCGGAGGAAGCUUCUUGAGGUCCUCACGUGCGGCGGCGGCGGCGGCGGCGGUUCUUGCCGCGGCCGGAGGUCCUUCCGGUCGCCCCAGCCACGCGCGCACUCGCAGCCAAGGCCGCGGUCCGACCGGCUGGCGGAGCUGCUCAGGGCGGAGCCGUCCGAGUGCGGCGACGACGAGGGCGAGGCGGACGCGGCCGUCAGGAAGGCGGCGGCGCUGGAGGAGCUGAAGGUCGUGGUCGCCGCCCUUCAGGAUCGAGAGGGAGACGUUGCCGGCGGCGUCUCGUGGCGUGUCGAGGCGGCCACGGUCGUGCGGAGGAAGGCCAAGGACGACGCCAUGGCCAGGGAGAUGCUCGCGAUGCUCGGCGCCAUCCCGCCGCUCGUCGCCAUGCUCGACCAGGGUGGAGGCGGCGAGGAGCUGCUGGCCGCCGCGCUGUACGCGCUCCUCAACAUGGGGAUCGGCAAUGACACGAACAAGGCCGCGAUCGUCCAGGCCGGCGCCGUGCACAAGAUGCUCCGCAUUGCCGAGGCCGCGUCCGGCGCUCUGACGGGGGCGCUCGUCGCCAACUUCCUCUGCCUCAGCGCGCUGGACGCGAACAAGCCCAUCAUCGGCGCCUCCGGCGCCGCGCCCUUCCUCGUGCGCGCGUUCGAGGCCGCGGCCACCGAGCAGGUCCGGCACGACGCCCUGCGCGCACUGCUCAACCUCUCCAUCGCGGCGGCGAACGUGCCGCACCUGCUGUCCGCGGGGCUCGCGCCGUCGCUCAUCGCGGCCAUCGGAGACAUGUCGGCGUCGGACCGCGCCCUCGCCGCGCUCUGCAACAUCGUGGCCGCCUGCCCCGAGGGCCGGCGCGCUGUGAGCCGCGCCCCGGACGCGGUGCCGGUCCUCGUGGACGUGCUCAACUGGUCCGACGAGGCCGGGUGCCAGGAGAAGGCCGCGUACGUGCUGAUGGUGCUGGCGCACCGGAGCUACGGCGACCGCGCGGCCAUGGCGGAGGCGGGCGCCACGUCGGCGCUGCUGGAGCUGACGCUGGUGGGCACGGCGCUGGCGCAGAAGCGCGCGUCGAGGAUCCUGGAGAUCCUGCGCGCCGACAAGGGCAAGCAGGUGGCCGACGCGUCCGGCGUCGUGGCCACGGUGUCGGCGCCGCAGGAGCGCGGCGGCGGCGGAGGGCGGCGCCGGGAGGAGGGGGGCGAGGAGGAGGAGGAGGCGGAGGGGGAGGCCUGCUGCAUGAGCAAUGAGAAGCGCGCCGUGCGGCAGCUGGUGCAGCAGAGCCUGCAGAGCAACAUGCGGCGGAUCGUGCGGCGCGCGCGGCUCCCGCAGGACCUGGCGCCGUCGGACGGCCUCAAGGCGCUCUCCUCCUCCUCCACCUCCAAAAGCCUGCCGUUCUAA